GGACUACAGGGGUAUCUAAUCCUGUUUGCUCCCCUAGCUUUCGUCAUUCAGCGUCAGUUGUGAUCCAGCGCGCCGCUUUCGCCACGGGUGUUCCUGCAGAUAUCUACGCAUUUCACCGCUACACCUGCAAUUCCACGCGCCUCUCUCACACUCAAGCACAGCAGUUUUGGAAGCAGCCUCUGGGUUGAGCCCAGAGAUUUCACUCCCAACUUGCCACACCGCCUACUGACCCUUUACACCCAGUAAUUCCGAACAACGCUGGCCCCCUACGUCUUACCGCGGCGGCUGGCAC
rnacentral:rRNA from 1 species